rnacentral:rRNA from 1 species
UGGGGAAUAUUGGACAAUGGGCGCAAGCCUGAUCCAGCAAUGCCGCGUGAGUGAUGAAGGCCUUAGGGUUGUAAAGCUCUUUCGCACGCGACGAUGAUGACGGUAGCGUGAGAAGAAGCCCCGGCUAACUUCGUGCCAGCAGCCGCGGUAAUACGAAGGGGGCUAGCGUUGUUCGGAAUUACUGGGCGUAAAGGGCGCGUAGGCGGCCUGUUUAGUCAGAAGUGAAAGCCCCGGGCUCAACCUGGGAAUAGCUUUUGAUACUGGCAGGCUUGAGUUCCGGAGAGGAUGGUGGAAUUCCCAGUGUAGAGGUGAAAUUCGUAGAUAUUGGGAAGAACACCGGUGGCGAAGGCGGCCAUCUGGACGGACACUGACGCUGAGGCGCGAAAGCGUGGGGAGCAAACAGAUUAGAUACCCUGGUAGUCCACGCCGUAAACGAUGAAUGCUAGACGUCGGGGUGCAUGCACUUCGGUGUCGCCGCUAACGCAUUAAGCAUUCCGCCUGGGGAGUACGGCCGCAAGGUUAAAACUUAAAGGAAUUGACGGGGUCAUAGCUGUUUCCU